rnacentral:lncRNA from 1 species
CCUCUAUCAAAACACACAUACACAACUCUCAAUAAACAACAAUCAUAAUCUUCCAUCCAUAAUCAAUCUUCCAAUAACUUCUCAUAUAAUUCAAUCACUCAAUACUCCAAUUACAUAAUCAAUAACUCAUAAAUCAAUCUCUGAUUUAUUCCAUAGACUCACUUCUCAGUAUUCAGAAACUAUCCAUUAUUCUUCAACAACAAAGAAAACAAAAGAAACAAAGAGGAAGCACCAAGCUUAACCCUGACUCAUGACUUUCACAGUCUAGCACUUUCUUCCUGUCUCCCAUCCUC